CUCACCUCCUUAUGACAAUGUGCUUUGAAGAAAGAUUUGGGCAACCUGAAAGUAGUUUCACUAAUUUGGAACCAGAGGUCUGGCUUUGUCCAUUUAAAAGAGUCUAGUUAUUGAUUGUGAAAUAACUAAAAAGACCUCACCUUGCUGUAUCUGAAAUAUGAGCACCACAAAAGGAAGUACCACAAGUUUGCUUUCCAAGCACAAAACCACACACAAGACUAAGAUGGUCAGCAAUGGAAAAGUGAUUCUCCAUCGUGCGUUAAACAUUUCUUAGUGCAAGCCAGAAAUUUCCCUAUUCGUGAAAUGAUGUAGAAAAUUCUUGAGUUGGAAAGAACAGAAAAUAAGGCUGAGGGUUUUGGACAAUCAGAUUUAGUAAGCAUCUCCAUUGCACACAGACAACCAAACCUCAAAGAGGAAUGAAAUUACCCGUCAAAGAAAGAAAA